rnacentral:lncRNA from 1 species
GGUUGGCAAAAGAGAUUCGGUCGGUCGGCUGAAAGUAGUGUCGGCCUGCUUAGCUGAUAUAUAGUUGGUAGUUGCUUUCAGGAUCGUCCGUUUAUUUGAUGGGUCAGAGUCGGGUGUCGGUCGAACUAUUCCGAAGAUUGAUCGACAAAUAGAGGCCGAUCGAUUUUUUCCAACAGUUGCCCCCUACUUUUGAGUCCAAAUGGCGAGUCAUCGCAUGCGUAGCUACAUGUCGGUCACUUUGGAUGAAAGGAGUAGUUAUCCGUCAUGUCGAGUCUCGAUUUUAUCACCACAUUCUCCAAAAUAUGG